GCAGCUUUCCAGAACGUUCUCGUUUAAAAUUGGAAGCAAAGUUUUCGCGUGGAGAGAUGACCAAGAUCGCCAAAAUACAUGAUGUUUGGGAAGACAAACCCGAGAUACCGGUCCAUCUUUGCCUCUGUGUCUGGCAUCUUGAGCUGGAAGGAUGCCAUACAAUGGAGUUCAUUAAGCUCACCCCCCUCCUUAUCACCUCAAGAAGGGGGGCCUGGAAGCCAUCUACCUCAUUCCUAAAGCUUGACAGAACAGAGUGAGGUGGUUCGGCUGCACAUUUUCUCGUGAAGGAAUAUCCUGGGACUCCAAAGUUUUGCUCUUUUUUUUUUCAGAAUGGCUGAGAGGAAGGAUUCCAACCCGCAAGAUGGCCACCUUAUGCCCAGCAAACUCUGCCGGCCCCCAGAGCAACAGCCACCCGUACGCUUUGGAUCAGACCCAAAGUUCAUCCCAGACAUAUUUCCUCUGUCCUCGAUCCCAAAGUUGCUGCAGUGUGACCUAAAUUGACCAAACCAGACACUGGAAACCAUAUGUCCAAUGCCGUGGCCUUAAGACUAAAGAGGAGAGGGACCAUCCACUUAAUCAGUGCACAGCUCCAAAGCCUGCAUCUCUGAUGGUCUGGGGUUGCAUAAGUGCCUAUGGCUGGGGCAGCAACAAGGUUUCCUGAGGACUUCUGCCUGUUUCUCUCGCUGGUUAUGCCCUUUUCUGUAUGAUGAUCCGUGCCCAGUAUUCUGCUGCCAUAAUGCAUCAACACUCGGCAUACAAGAUCUUGUAAAGAUACUGGACCAGAACUAAUGGUAAAUCACAACAACAAUGCGGCAGCUGUGUAUCAUCCACAAUCUGAACAGUGAUUACUGCUUUGAAUAAUGCCAAGGCAUCAGGAAGCUCUGCAGCUGUAUUUUGGGCUUCAUGCUGCUGAGCAACCUAAAGUAACGUGUGUGUGUAUAUAGCUUAAAUACAUUUUGACUUAACUUUCAAACCACAAACAUGAUGUAGAGAAGAGCUGUAGUAAAAAUGCACAAACUGUCACAUUUCUCUAACAGUCCAUGUCAGGCAUCAAACUGUUCAAUAAUGCUGAGAAUCAGAGCAGUCAUGUACAGCAGAGCAACGUCUGAAACUGACUGCAGAGGUGACUGGGGCGGGUUUUCUCUGUCUGUGGAUCCUCUGAAGGAUUACACUGUUUGUGAUUGCCUUGCAUCAUCAGAGACCGCAGCUCAUCUUAAAUAUCUGCUUUUUAUGUCAGCCGGCAGCAUGUUCAGCCCUGAUAUUGUGUGCACUUGGUUUAAGUUGCUGCAAGGCAAUGUGGCAAUGAAUUUAAAUCAGGACAGUCACACACAUAUGAAAUUAUAUAAUCUGAACUAGAGCUGGGCAAUAUAACCUUACACUGUAGGUUUUAUUCUUGACAGUAACAGUAUGGUAUUGUGGUAUUAGAAAAAUAAAAGGGAGAACAGAUGUCAAUGCAUAUUCAGCUGCUGCUACCCUCUUCUCCCCCUAACACAAACCUGAACAGCAUACUCUACUCGUGUCUGGGUGUAAGAUAACAGGAAAAAUGGUUUUAUAUCUCUGAGUUAAUUUCUCUGUAAUUGCACCUUUUAAAUCUAAGUUUUAUUUCUCUCCUGCUGUGUGUUAACUGCUAUAAUUUCCCAAUUUGCUCACAAUAAAAGCAAACGUAAGAACAA